rnacentral:lncRNA from 1 species
AUGAAAUCCUUGGAGGACAAAAUAGGCCAUCUUCUGAAGGAUGUUGCGUACCUCAAAGCGACAGCAAAAUCAGUCAAACUGAUAGGGCAAAGCACCAUCAAAACACAGAUAAUCAGUCUCCCUAAUAUAUACCCUGGAGGCCUCCCAUGCAAAUCUUCUGCUGAAGUUGAGACUCUUGAGAAUUUCUUGAAGAAUGCAAACACAGAGACCAGGAAAUUGUUUUUCCAGGGUCUUUUGCAGCUGGGAGGGUCGAAGCCCGGAGACAUCAUUCGAGAAAUACUAAGAACCCUCUUGAGUAAUCGAGCGGCUCUCGAAUAUAGUUAUCAAGGGGAGGGCCCGAACAACAAAGCCUUUCAACCUCUGCUGAUAUGUGAAAUGACCCUGAAUGUUGUACGAACAAACCCCCAAUACCAUGAGUACACAUCAAAUUCCUUUAAGGUAAUCGUCGAGAAUUGGCUCAGGAAUGCUAACAAACGUUUGCUGACAGAAGGAAAAAAUCGGCGUCGAGCUCCUGCAAGGGCGGCAGAUUAUGUAUAAUUCUCCAAUGUUAGUGUAAUUGUUGCACAGUUGUUAAUAAUUGUAUUUUACACGUAUGUAAAUAUAUUUUAUAAAAAUAAAUAAACCUUUUUAUAUAAUCAGAUGAAUUAAUUCAAAUUAAAUUAUCCAAGUAUGAAAUAAAAUAAAUUACCCAAACAAGGAGGUAAAAUGGUUCUGGGUUCAUACCAUUUUGGGGAAAAACAAAACCAUAAAGUUCAAAAAAUUUCUAUUAGAGUUAAAAAUUGUGAGCUCUAAUGAGAGCCAGUACAAGAAUGAGAGAGGAGAGUGUUUAGCUCAGGCAGCUUGCAUUGGAAUACUAAGUUGAGGUCAUACUAAGAGAUCUAUAACGUUUUGGAGCUUUCUAGACUACAUCAGUAGAUCACACUUAUUAGUGCACCCAACUCAGCAUCCCGCUAAAUCCAAGACUGCAUCGAAACGCUGUCAUGAAUAAGUUGAUGUCUUCUUGGAUUUCGCAGUAUGGUAAGCUGGGUUCACUGACAAGUGGUAUCUACUGAGGAGGUCUAAAAAGACCCAAAACGUUAUAGAUCUCUCGGCGUGACCUCAACUUAAUAUUCCAAUGCGAGCUGCCUGAACUGAACAAAACCACCCCCCCCCCCCCCCCGUCUUGUAUUGGUACUCAUUAGAGCUCAACAUUUUUUACUCUUUUUGAAAUUUUGGAACUUUUUGGCUUUGUUUCCCCUGCAAAAUGGAGUAGACCCAGCACCAUUUCACCUUGUUACAUAAAGUUCAUGCCAUUUCUUAGUGUUUUUCUCUUUUAUGUUUAUACUUUUGUAUUUUUUCUGUAAUUGUAUUUUGUGACUCAAAUUAAAAUUUGUAGAACUUUUUGGCUUUGUUUCCCCUGCAAAAUGGUGUAGACCCAGCAUCAUUUUUCACCACCUUGUUUCAGUUCAGGCCAUGUUUUAGUGUUUUCUCUCUUUUAUAUGUUUGUAUGUAUACUGUAAUAUAAUGAUAUUGCAGGUAUGUAUUUUUCCUGUAAAUGUGUUUUGUGAUAUACCUAGUUCAUUUUUUCUAGUUUUAGGUAAUGACAGUAAUGAGCUCUCUACUUGUGAAGAAAUCUCAUAUUUUUUUUGUUAAUAAAAGCCAUCAAGUAUGUCUACAUAGAGUUUUUUUCUUAAUUAAGUCUUUACUACCAAAAUAUACUUAAGUUCAUUUAGUACUAUUCAUAUCGUUCAUCUUUCUCAAGAUUUUCAGUUUAUAAGUUUUUUUGGUUCCACAUGAUUUUAAGCUUCACAAUUACCUAGGUAGGUACCUGAAAUGCCAGAAGUCAAGAAACAGCUUAGAAAAGAUAGUAAGAUAGGAAAAUUUGAUAUGAUAUAUUAGUUGAUAGUAAAAGAUAGUAAACUUUGACUUAGAUAAGUGAAGUGUUUGCAAUUCGAAAAAUACUAUUUUUGAUUUCUUGUAAAAAAUAGACACUUAGAGAUGAGCAAGUUUUCAAAGCAGCUACUUGCAGGAAAGAUAAUAUAAAAAUCAUGGUUUCCUUAAAAAGAAUGCUCGAGAAAAUUUCGUUCUUAUCUUUUUUAACUAAUCAUUAUGAAAUUAGAGAGGAGGAGUAGUGGCAUGAAAGAGGUUUGCAAAAAAAAAAAAAAAAAAAAAAAAAAACUGAAAAUACCGUCACUACCCAUGCAAACUUUCUAUACCUAUUUUGAGUGACUGAAUAAUAAAACAUCAACAAUUUUUUCACUCCCCUUAAGAAAAAUUUCUUGAAAAUUAAAAGGUACGCAGCUUUCGAUGCCGGAGUUCAUAUGUUGGCCCAGUUGCCACGUAAAUUAAAGUUCUUAUUACUCAGACUUGUAAGCGGCAAUAUUUUUAAAAUGAAGAGCCUCUCAAGUCGACAUUUAAUUCGAUCCUGUUUUUACUGAACUCAGAAGCGAGUAAAAACCACAGUUUUACAUAAAUAACUCGUCUAGUCGUUUUGUCACUGCGCCGUGUGUUCGAAAAAAAGUCAGAACCCCUUCAUGUUACUGUUGUAUGCAACAAGGAGUACACCCAAGUCUUUUUGACUGUUUUUGACCGAGUCAAAAGAGUCAAAAAAAGUCCGAUCUGGAGUCUAUUGCGCAUGCGCCUGAAACUUCGCGGCCUCGUUGGCAAAUGUCUGGUGACGUCAUCGAUUGUUGAACUUUCAAUUCUAACCUCACAUUUUUGUGUACACUUGUUCUGUUCAGUUGUGUUGUGAUGUGAGAACUUUUUCAAAGAAGUCAAAAUUAACACCGCAAUCUGCCGAUUUCAAUCCUCCUUCGCCCUGUGUAAAAUUAAUACCCACAAUCAU